CGUGUGCUUAUGUCUCUAAAAUGGCCCACUCUCAUUGCUACCAUUGUGUGCAUGCGUCCAUAACAUGGCCUGCAUAUCGUGUUGCCUUUGCAUGCCUGAAAUUGCCUGAAAGUACGCCUACGUCUAGGAGAGGGCCUGAUGCCAUCAUGUAGGAUAAGUGGGAACUGAAAGAUGAAAGUGAAAUACCACUAUUUUUAACAUUAUUUUACUUAUUUCGUAAAUCAGAGGCGGAGCAUUGCCCCUCUUUUUUGACCUAAGGCUCUCUUCGCGGGCCGAUCUAGGCGAAAGACAUUGUCAGGUGGGGAGUUUGGCUAGGACAGCACAUCUAUUAAAAAAUAACGCAGGUGUCCUAAGAUGAGCUUAACGAGAACAGAAAUCUUAUGUGGAAGAGAAGGGUAAAAGCUCGUUUGAUUCUAAUUUUUAGUACGAAUACGAACCGUGAAAGCAUGGCCUGACUGUCCUUUAGACCUUUGAAAUUUGAAGUUAAAGGUGCCAGAAAAGUUACCGUAGGGAUAAUUGGCUUGUGGCAGCCAAGCAUUCAUAGCGACGUUGCUUUUUAAUCCUUCAAUAUUGACUCUUCCUAUCAUUGUGAAAUAGAAUUCACCAAGUGUUGGAUUGUUCACCCACCAAUGGCGAAUGUGAGCUGGGUUUAGACCAUCGUGAGACAUGUUAGUUUCACCCGACUGAUGACAGUGUCUCACUAGUCGUUCAACCAGUACAAGAGGAACCGUUGAUUCUUACAAUUGGUCAUCGCGCUUGGUUGAAAAGCCAGUAGCACGAAGCUACCGUGCGCUGGAUUAUGACUAAAUGCCUCUAAAUCAGAAUUCGGGCUAAAAGAGAUGAACGCACCUGCCAUCCGCUUCUCGACUCGCAGUAGGGGCCUUACGGCCCCCGGGAGCACAUGUC
rnacentral:rRNA from 1 species